rnacentral:lncRNA from 1 species
CCAGGUCUGUCAGCUCACCCCCUUACUCAUCAGGGCUCUGGGAUUGUCAGUGACAGAAACCCAGCUCCAAGCCAACAGAGAAGGUGAAGGUGCAGAGAAUCCAAGGUAGGAUUGAGAAACGAAAUUCUGGAAACAUCUUUGGGGGAGGCAGGCUCAGGGAUGGCUGAAAGCAGGCCUGCAGGGCUCCAGUGCCAAAAGAGAACAGGGCAGCUGAUGGGGCUGCUGCCUUGUACUGAGUAACUUUCACCACAGCAAUGAGACUGACUUUUGUGGCUGUAUUAGUGUUCACUGUGAGAUUCUUUCAACUUGGCUGUGUGUUUGAAAUUUUUCAUGGAGGGGAAAGCGAUUAUGUGGAACCCUGGGGUCCCCUAGUGGUGAGUUAGGGGUCCCGGAGCUCAGGAUUGCAAGCUGAGAUUAUGCAG